CCUACGGGAGGCAGCAGUGAGGAAUAUUGGUCAAUGGGCGGGAGUCUGAACCAGCCAAGUCGCGUGAGGGAAGAAGGUACUGAGUAUUGUAAACCUCUUUUGUCAGGGGAUAAAAGCGGCCACGGGUGGCCGUAAGAGGGUACCUGGAGAAUAAGCAUCGGCUAACUCCGUGCCAGCAGCCGCGGUAAUACGGAGGAUGCGAGCGUUAUCCGGAUUUAUUGGGGUUAAGGGGUGCGUAGGCGGCUGGUAAAGUCAGCGUGAAAAUGUCGGGGCUCAACCCCGGCCGGGCGUUGAAACGGGCGUGCUCGAGUUGGGUAGAGGUAUGCGGAAUUCGUGGUGUAGCGGUGAAAUGCAUAGAUAUCACGAAGAACCCCGAUUGCGAAGGCAGCAUACCGGCUCCACACUGACGCUGAGGCACGAAAGCGUGGGUAUCGAACAGGAUUAGAUACCCCUGUAGUC
rnacentral:rRNA from 1 species